rnacentral:rRNA from 1 species
UAUAGAGGUCCCGAGCGUUGUUCGGAUUCAUUGGGCGUAAAGAGCGUGUAGGCGGCCAGGUAGGUCGGUUGUGAAAACUGGAGGCUCAACCUUCAGAGGUCGACCGAAACCAUCUGGCUAGAGUCCGGGAGAGGAGAGUGGAAUUCCUGGUGUAGCGGUGAAAUGCGCAGAUAUCAGGAAGAACACCCGUGGCGAAAGCGGCUCUCUGGAACGGUACUGACGCUGAGACGCGAAAGCGUGGGGAGCGAACAGG